UACGUAGGGUGCGAGCGUUGUCCGGAAUUAUUGGGCGUAAAGAGCUCGUAGGCGGUGUGUCGCGUCGGCCGUGAAAACCUGCAGCUUAACUGUGGGCUUGCGGUCGAUACGGGCAUCACUGGAGUUCGGCAGGGGAGACUGGAAUUCCUGGUGUAGCGGUGGAAUGCGCAGAUAUCAGGAGGAACACCAAUGGCGAAGGCAGAUC
rnacentral:rRNA from 1 species